rnacentral:rRNA from 1 species
AGCAGUCGCCACGGUAAUACGUAGGUCCCGAGCGUUGUCCGGACUUAUUGGGCGUAAAGCGAGCGCAGGCGGUUAGAUAAGUCUGAAGUUAAAGGCUGUGGCUUAACCAUAGUACGCUUUGGAAACUGUUUAACUUGAGUGCAAGAAGGGAGAGUGGAAUUCCAUGUGUAGCGGUGAAAUGCGUAGAUAUAUGGAGGAACACCGGUGGCGAAGGCGGCUCUCUGGCUUGUAACUGACGCUGAGGCUCGAAAGCGUGGGGCGCAAACAGGAUUAGAUACCCCCGUAGUCCCUGUCUCUUAUACA